AAGUAGGAAUAAGUAGGAAACCAGGCUUUAUUAGUUUAUAAUCAGAACUAAUAAAGCCUGGUUUCCUAUUUAUUCCCACUU
ensembl:miRNA